CCAGACUGAUAACCAUCAAGGAGAUGGUUCCAGGCCAGCAGGUUCCUUCAGCCCACGGAGGACGCCAAUGAGAACCCCCUUCAUGACAGCAUGACCACGGGACUUCCGAACACCCUGCUGCCUGACCCACACAUCACCACCCCUGAGAGGUACGAUGGCUCGCCGGAUCAUUACCAAGGGUUCCUCGUGCAAUGCAAGCUGGUGUUCAACUGCACCCCCAAAUGUAUCAGUCAGACAAAGCCAAAAUUGCGUACCUGUUGGGCCUCCUCACUGGACCUGCGCAAUGCUGAUCGACAGUAGGCUGGUGCACCUGCAUGAAAAUCACGUAUGAUGACUUCCAUAAGAAGUUUAAAGCCAUCUUUGAUCAUCCGCUGUCAGCGCACGCCACCAGCGACCACCUCCUGUGCAUUCAGCAAGGUAAUCGGACGGUACGCCUUGGAGUUUUGGACGCUGGCAGAACAAAGCGGAUGAAACACCGCGUCCCUCUGGGUCUGCUUCUGAAACGGGCUUCAGCCCCGGCUCCAGACCGAUUUGACGUAUUGCGGGGAGGAGUGGACUUUUGAAUGCUUUGCGGAGACGACCGUGGCAGUGGAUAGCCAAGCCCAUGAGCGAACCCCAAAGUGAUAGACAGUCGCCCCAGCCCCGGCAUCCCAGGAGGAGGAGCCAGAGGGAUGCAGCUGAGGCAGGGACAGUUAGACCCUGAGGAGAGAUGGCAUCGCUUCUAGGAUCGACUUUGUCUCGGGGGCUGCCGGCUGUUUCGUGGACACUGAAUUCGCUCAGGCAAACCAUAUUCCAGGCCAGGAUUGUGAUGUCACAUUGCAGGCCUCAGACACCCUGGUUGUACUAGAAUUCCCCUGGUUGGUACGGCAUGACCCGGUGUUCCAGUGGAAUACGGGGGAACUGGUAUCAUGGGGAAACCGGUACGUGUUUAUGCUUGCAGCUUCCGUGCCUGGCUACCUCAGCGGAAGGGGUGGCAGGGGCUCCCCCGGUGAAGAUUUCGCGUGAGUAUGAGGACCUGGGUCUUCAGUAUGACUCAGGCAGCUGAGCUUCCCACUCAUCGCCUGUGGGAUUGUACAGUUAACCUCUUGCCUAGGACCACUCCCCCCAAGAGCUGCGUGUACCCCUGUCCCUGCAGGAACAGAAGGCGAUGCGGGAAUACAUCAUGGAGGCGCUGAAUGCAGGGAUUAUUAGGCCUUUCACAUCACCUGCCUCCGCUGGGUUCUUUUUCAUAGGGAAAAAAGAUGGGGGGCCUGCGUCCAUGCAUCGAUUAUCAGGGGUUGAAUGCUAUUACGGUCUGCUACCCACACCCUUUGCCAUUGAUCACUGUGACUUUAGAGAGAAUCCAUGCAGCAACGGUGUUUUCCAAACUAGAUCUGAGGGAUGCGUACAGUCUCAUUCAUAUCCGCCAAGGGGACAAAUGGAAGACCACUUUCAGUACAUCCCUGGGCCAUUAUGAGUACCGGGUAAUGCUAUUUGGUCUAUCCAAUGCUCCCUCAGUCUUCUAGGCCUUCAUGAAUCAUGUGCUUGGGGACCUGAUCAGCCAAUGCAUGCUGAUCUACCUGGAUGACUUCCUGGUCUUUUCCAGGACCAGGGAGGAACACAUUCACCAGGUGAAGGCAGUGUUGCUCUGGCUCUUAAGCAAUCGCCUCUGUGUCAAAGGGGAGAGAUGCCUGUUUUACCAGCCCCAGGUAUCCUUUCUGGGGUACAUUCUGAGCUGAGAGGGAGUAGCCAUGGACCCAGAGAAAGUGCGCACAGUGACAGAAUGGCCUAGACCCACCAUGGUGAAGACUCUUCAACGCUGUCGGGGGUUAGCGAUUUUUUUAUUGACAGUUUAUCUGCAGUUUCACUGUUAUCUAAUUCACUGUAUCUAACUUUUAGAUUUGUUUGUGGUUUUUGUUGUUUUCUGUUUUUUUCAUUUUUAAUUUUUUUUUUCAUUUAUUUUGCAGCUAUUUAGUAACUAUAUUUUAUAAAAGGGGCAGGUCUUGACAGAGACUGUGCAUAGAACUAUUGACAUCACUGUAUUAUUUACAGCAUUAGCUUUCUGUUCAUUUUAGAAAAUUCUGUCAUGAACUCAUCCAUGUCCAGUCCAUGUGUUACUGCUUUUUCAUGAGCUAAAAGUACAAGGUGUUUUUUUCCUCUUAUGAAGCAUUGUUCGGCAGAAUGGUGCCAAAAUUCUUGGCAGAGUGAAGAAUGAGCUCUCACAUGAAGCAGUAGAGACACCCAUUACCACUGCAGAUACAUAGAAUUUAUGAAGAUUUGCAAAUGCAUCUUUGUAUUCCUGCAAGAGUUUGCAAACAGCAGGAAAAGUGAGCAUCAGUUGAAAGCUUUUUGGACAGCAUUGGUCUGGCAACAAGAAUUUCACUCUUCAGUUCAUUUCUUGCAAUCCCUGCAAGACCACAGAGAGGAUCAAGCUGCUGAAUGUCAAGAAAUUUGUUGGAUUUUGGCAUCAAACAUGAGAAGGCUUGUAUCAGCUCUAAAUUCUUUGUGAAAAACCUGUUUUCCUUCUGUAUUAAAGCUGUAUCUAGUAUGUUCAACAUCUGUCACCUUAGAGCUUUAGUGGCACAUUCAGAGCCUGACUGCCCUUCUUGUCCUAAAGGUGAAAAAAUGACAGAGUCGACAUAAGAAAGAUUAAUAGUCCUUAGACGUUUUGGUGAGGGCUCAACAGUAGAUAUGCCAGUGCAGUACUGCUGCAAUUCACUGUAAUUUUCUAUGAGAUUUCUCAGUGCACCAAGAGAUCCCUGCACUACUUCAGCUGCACUGCACAAAUCAACAUGCUGAGACUGUAGGAUGGCAUUUGCUGGUUUCAAAAUGGCAAGAAGAUGUUUCAGAAAUUUGCCAACUUCAAAAAAAUGGUGUCGCUUCAGCUGAAAGAGAAACCCAGAGGCUUCUUUUGCAAGGUCAACUGAGGCAUUGUCUUCACUGGAAACCUUGGAAAGAAUGUCAAGAAUGACUUCCUCAUUCUCCACAACACACUUCAUGACUUCAAAAUGGCUUGUCCAAUGGAUUUCUAACAAGGUCUUGAGAUACGGGCAACUGUACCUCUGACAGACAAAAUGAUGCCUGAAAAAAGAGUACAAGGAGCCUGACAAGUCAAAGAAUCUUUUGGCACAAGGUUCACUUUGAAUUGCAUGUAUGAUUGAGAGGUGAAGCUGGUGGUUAUAGCAGUGAAUGAAUAGGAUAUGACUGCCCAACCUUCUUUGUAAUAAAGCCUGAACAUCACCUUGCACCCCACUCAUCACUGAUGCUCCAUCAUAACACUGGCUCAGUAUAUUGUCAGCACUGAACCCUGUUUCAGACAAGUGUUGUAAUAUUUCAGUGGUGAUGUAAUCUGCAUCAAGCUGCUGGAGUUCUAACAAGCCAACAAGAUGUUCCUCUGGCACACUUGCACACAAAGCAGAUUACAACAGACAAAUUUUCAAUGCUGCACCAAUUCCUUGUGCAAUCGCUUUUUAAACAGAAUGCAGCUGAAUCAGCAGUGUCAUAUUUCUGUUUUAUUUUUUUCAGAACCAUGGAUGCCAAAAUUUCAAUCGCUUUAUUCUGGAUGGUUUUAGAAGUGUACUUUGCAUCUUGUGGGAUAUUUGAUGUAAUGUCAGCAAGAUAUUUAUCUUUUUUCAAUGUGUAUUUAAACAACUUGACAAAAAGCCCGGAAACUAUGCAAUCCUCCUCAUUGUCAAAUGCUUCCCGAUCCCCACGUAGUGGAAGGUCUUUGACUGUUAAAAAUUUCACAACACCUGCAACACUUUUUAUGUAAUAGUGAUUCUUUUCUAUCUGUUGGGGACCAAGCAAAUAUACUACGGUCUCCCCCGACACCUGUCGGUGGCAAAACUCUGUCCAUGCGGUUGAGGCUUGUAAAUGUGCCUGGCUACAAGCAUGUUUUUGAAGACCGCUAUCACGUUCUAAUGCUGCUUUCCAGUUUUUAAAACCUGUCAAAAUGAAAGUGUCUUAUUCGGAGCAGCACCAAACACUCGACACGGAAAACAAAAGCACGCAUCGCGCGCUACAGAAUAUUCAUGCCAGGGUCAUGACUGAUACCAAGUGGCUGAAAAGUAUGGCCCUCUCCCUCCAAAAAGAGUUUGGGGAUAUGAUUUCAGAUCCGGCUGAUGAGGAUUUGCCCUGUUUAAAUCAUUUGGGACAGAAUUGCUGCAUUUUUGAGUGGGUGUAAUUGUGUUCUUGACACCAUCAGAAGCUGCUGAUGAACUUUACUCGUCUAUUUCUCUGACCUCAUUGCCAGAAAUGGAUGAGGUGGUAGUUGUGUCCUGCUGAGCUAAAAUGGUUUUCUUUUGUCCUGUCGGAACAAGAAAUCUGUCCAUGUUGUGUUGUCUUAGGCUACUAAAGUAUGUAGUAGUAAUAAGUUUGCUAAUAAUUCUAAUACAGUUCCCUGGCUGUUUCUGUCGUUGCUUUGUAAUUUAGCAUGUCCGUUAACCU